rnacentral:rRNA from 1 species
GACGAACGCUGGCGGCGUGCUUAAUACAUGCAAGUCGAACGGAAAGGCCCUGUUUUUGUGGGGUGUUCGAGUGGCGAAAGGGUGAGUAACACGUGAGUAACCUGCCCUUUACUUUGGGAUAACUCCAGGAAACUGGGGCUAAUACCGGGUAGGAGCUCCUGCUGCAUGGUGGGGGUUGGAAAGUUUCGGCGGUUGGGGAUGGACUCGCGGCUUAUCAGCUUGUUGGUGAGGUAGUGGCUUACCAAGGCUCUGACGGGUAGCCGGCCUGAGAGGGUGACCGGGCACAUUGGGACUGAGGUACGGGCCAGACUCCUACGGGAGGCAGCAGUGGGAAAUUUUGCACAAUGGGCGGAAGCCUGAUGCAGCAACGCCGCGUGCGGGAUGACGGCCUUCGGGCUGUAAACCGCUUUAGCCUGUGACGAAGCGUGAGUGACGGUAAUGGGUAAAGAAGCACCGGCUAACUACGUG